rnacentral:misc_RNA from 1 species
CGAAGAUUUCGUCGUUUCUUCUUUUCUCUUUGCACUUGUCCGGAGAUGAUGAUGAAUGGCCGUUUAAAAGAGAACGCCUGCCUGCAGACUCACCGUUUGCUUUUUACAUGGUGGAUCAUUGAACGCGGUUACGAACAACGCGUCUAAUUAUCGGUAUUUUCUGAUAGAAAGCAAUCGUGUCCAGUUAUUCGUUGGGGUGAAUGAAACACGGUGAACGAAUGCCCAUACCGGACUAUUGGAAGAUUUUUAUUCCAUUAAAGAAGAAAAUAAGUUUCGUAAAUGGCAGAACGAAAACUGGCAAUUUUCACAGCAUGAACAAUUUUAUUGUCAACAGCGAGUUUCUUAACUCA